UACGUAGGUGGCAAGCGUUGUCCGGAUUUACUGGGCGUAAAGGGAGCGUAGGUGGAUAUUUAAGUGGGAUGUGAAAUACCUGAGCUUAACUUGGGUGCUGCAUUCCAAACUGGAUAUCUAGAGUGCAGGAGAGGAAAGUGGAAUUCCUAGUGUAGCGGUGAAAUGCGCAGAUAUCGGGAAGAACACCCGUGGCGAAGGCGGCUCUCUGGGACGGUACUGACGCUGAGACGCGAAAGCGUGGGGAGCGAACAGG
rnacentral:rRNA from 1 species